rnacentral:lncRNA from 10 species
GUGGGCAUCUGGUAAAAACUCAUAAAGGACAUAACCUGAAAGAAGAGCAAUGAAGGCAAAACAGGAGCUUCCUUCUGGAGAAGAAAGGGAAUAGCAUUCCCGGAUACAGUAGGGGGAGCUCAGGAAUUGGACAUGACCUGUGUAGAUUGUGGUGACGGAGUGUGACAGGCAUGAAUGCGACCACGUGUCAAGUAUAGAAGACUCAACUUCUAGAGGCUGCCCGCAUUCUUUGGCUCAUGGCCCUCUUCCAUCUUCGCAGGAGUAAUAGUGAGUCCUUCUCAGAUCACCUCACUCUGACUCUCCCGCCUCCCUCUUCCAUUUCUAAAAACACUUCUGACGGCAUGAGGCCCACCUGGACAAUGUAGGAUGAUCUCCACAUCUCAAGGUCAGCUGAUUUGCAACUUAACAUAUUCACAGGUCUGGGAAUUAAAACAUGGACAUAUUUGGGGGACCGUUAUUCUGCUUCCAACACAAGGUGAACAACUCUGCUACUAAAAACAAAACCAAAAAUGCUAGAUUAAAAAAAAAUUAUCAAAAGCACUGAAGAGCUAACUAGAGAAUUAUAGAGCCCCAAAUCCAAACAAAUAUGGAAACUCAUAUAGCGCAAAAGCUACUUUUUGGCUGAGGACAUCUGUGCUCUAGUAGAGGUGACAUUUUUGACAUUUUCACUUAGAAAAAUAAGUAAAAAUCCAGGAAACAUGCCAGGUUGGGAAUCUAACAGAAAACCCUCCCCACAUUAAGCUGGAACCUUAAAUGAUCCUAUCCUACCUUUCCAAAACCAAGUUAGUACAGAGAAAGUUGCUUAGGCCUGAGCAGAGGUAGUAAAAAAAAAAAAUUUCAAGAAGCUGCAAUCGCAAACCAAUCCGGGCUCAGAUGUGCAGCCAAGUUUGUAUCAGUUAGGUGGACCUAACAUCUGCUUUGGUAAAACCUCCAGCUGCCUGACCAAAGCAAAUACAAAUUCCCUCUGGAGGAAGUCACCAUCAUUCUAUGUCUUAAUAAACCGCUAUAUAAAUUUUUAAAAAUCAGGGACCAAUACAAAAUAGGAGGUAAUAAAUUUCACAAGAAAACAAAGCAUUUAAGUGAGAACACACACAAACAGUGGAAAAUAGAAAUUGAUCUGUUGAAAUUAUCAGACAUAUAUUCUAAAAUAAUUCCACUGGCUAUAUGUAAAUAAAAGAUACAUUUGAAUCUAUUUUUAGGGAAAAUUAUGCUAAAAAUGAUAUAUUUUAAGAAGACAGAGAUGCUAGUAAUAAAAAUUACAAUAACCAAAAACUGAAAGUAAAUGGAUGGGUUUAAUAUCAGAUUGUAAAACCAAAUUAGAUACACCUGAAGAAAGCAUUUGUGAGCUGUUAUGAAACUCUCCAAAUGCAUCACUGGGAGAAAAAAAUAGAUGAAAAAUGAAAAAGAGAAUGAGACAGGGAGAGAGAGAAAGAAAGAGAAACAAACUUAAGAGACAUGGAAGAUAAGAGUUGAGAAAGUCUAACAAACAUGUAAUUAGAGUUCCAAAAGGAAAAAGAAAGAGAACUGGGUAGAGGCAAUAUCAGAAGAGUAAAAAGCUGGAAGUCUUCUAGGACUGAUAUAAAAAUACAAUUUAAUAGCUUCAAGAAGCC